UGUCACCUGUUUGGAGCAGUUUGGAAACUGCGCGGCUUUCAAAAAUCAGAUGGUAAACCUGUCCGGCAUGGAAAGCAGAUUAUGAAGUUAAUCUCGGCCAUGAUGCUUCCACACCGAUUGGCCAUUAUCAAGUGUCCUGCUCAUCAAAAAGACAACUCCAACACCACGAUGGGAAACAAUGCGGCAGACGAAGCUGCAAAGCGCGCUUCAGGUUGCAAGAGUGUCACAAACCAGACCACUGUGGGCGAGAUGAGGUGAUGCAUCG